UUAUGCUUAUGUUGAUAACCAAAGAGGUUUCUAUAGAAGGAAGUGGCAAUUUCCAGGAUCUCUUUGGUGGAGUGAAGUGGACCAUCAUCACCAUUCAAUUCGUAUAAGUGGUUCUUCGUAUGACGAUGGUUAGCUAACGCGUGGAAGUAUUUAUUAUUUUUGUCACCAUCUUUGAUCCUCCUAUCUCUCGAUCGCUUCCACAAUGCAGUUUCUUCUUUCCUCCAGAUAUCCUCUAAUUCUUUCUUAAUAUCCUCCAAACGAAUGUUAUCAUUGGCAUCUAAACGAUUGGUUUCAGAAAACACAUCAAGGAUGUCAAAUUCUUGUAAAAGAACUUUCUUCUUCUUUUUCAUAGCUGCCUCUAAAUUUAUACUCCAGCCUUUAAUCUUUUUCCUAAAAUCCUAGUCUUAUUCAUCGAGUUAUCGAUAGCCUUACCCAAACAUGUUG
rnacentral:lncRNA from 1 species